rnacentral:rRNA from 1 species
GAGGAAUAUUGGUCAAUGGGCGCGAGCCUGAACCAGCCAAGUAGCGUGAAGGAUGAAGGCUCUAUGGGUCGUAAACUUCUUUUAUAUGGGAAUAAAGUUUUCCACGUGUGGAAUUUUGUAUGUACCAUAUGAAUAAGGAUCGGCUAACUCCGUGCCAGCAGCCGCGGUAAUACGGAGGAUCCGAGCGUUAUCCGGAUUUAUUGGGUUUAAAGGGAGCGUAGGUGGAUUGUUAAGUCAGUUGUGAAAGUUUGCGGCUCAACCGUAAAAUUGCAGUUGAAACUGGCAGUCUUGAGUACAGUAGAGGUGGGCGGAAUUCGUGGUGUAGCGGUGAAAUGCUUAGAUAUCACGAAGAACUCCGAUUGCGAAGGCAGCUCACUAGACUGUCACUGACACUGAUGCUCGAAAGUGUGGGUAUCAAACAGGAUUAGAUACCCUGGUAGUCCACACAGUAAACGAUGAAUAUUCGCUGUUUGCGAUA